rnacentral:rRNA from 1 species
UGAUUCUUAGUGGCGAACGGGUGAGUAACGCGUAGACAACCUGCCUUCUAGAUGGGGACAACACUGCGAAAGUGGUGCUAAUACCGAAUGUUGUAUUAAGCCUGCAUGGGCUUGAUACUAAAGGUGGCCUCUAUUUAUAAGCUAUCACUAGAAGAUGGGUCUGCGUCUGAUUAGCUAGUUGGUGAGGUAAUGGCUCACCAAGGCGAUGAUCAGUAGCCGGUCUGAGAGGAUGAACGGCCACACUGGGACUGAGACACGGCCCAGACUCCUACGGGAGGCAGCAGUGGGGAAUCUUCCGCAAUGGACGAAAGUCUGACGGAGCAACGCCGCGUGAGUGAAGAAGGUUUUCGGAUCGUAAAGCUCUGUCUUUGAGGACGAAUGUGUCUAAUGUGAAUAAUGUUAGAUAAUGACGGUACUCGAGGAGGAAGCCACGGCUAACUACGUGCCAGCAGCCGCGGUAAUACGUA